rnacentral:lncRNA from 1 species
UAGUGUAUGAACAAGUAGUUGGUUCAUGUAAAACUAGAUUAGUAAUGUAGUUUGAACUUUACAAAUGGAAAAUAAUUAUAUGGAUGAAACAGUGGACAAUUAAUAUAGGCUUAAAUUUUUCAUUUAAAUAAGAUAUUAACAGUUUACGUGUAUCUUGUAAUAACUUCAACUAAGCAAUAACAUGUAGACUUACUAAUACAUGCUUAAACAUAUUUAGAAAUGCAAAAAGAAAAAUGUACCUGGGCUAUUGUUCACAAUUGUUGUUGAUGGAAUUGAAGUGCUAUACAAAUGUGGAUGCUUACCUUCCUCAAUGAUUUCAUCAAGUUCUUCUUUUUUAUUUUGGUCUACAGAUGGAACAAUAUUCCCAAUUAUUUGAUCUAGCAUGUCACAUUCUUGUAUCUUGAGCAUUUUCAAUUGAGUUAAGCCUCUUACAAUGUUGGCCGAGAAUAUAUGUUUUAAUUUUCUACAACUAUUUACCUUUACUUCCUGAAGAUUUUGGAAGAUUUGUACAGGAUGCUCAGUGGUGAAUUCACCUUGACUUUUUUCUGUUUUGUCAUCAUCAGCUAAUAUAUGCUUCAGUUCAUCACAUCUUGAUAUUUUUAAUAUUUUCAAUUGUACCAAACUUCGAGCAACGAUAUACGUGAAGAUAGAUGUCAACUGUGGACAAUCACUUAAAUUCAGCUUCUCUAAGUUCUCAAAAGGCCCAUUGAUAGGUUGAAAACAAUACCAUAAAGCUCUUAAAUUUUUCAUUUUUUCCACUCUGAGAUUAUACAACUUGGAGAAGUGAGUUACCACCGUACUCGAUUGGUUACUAGUGUCAAUCAAACACUCUAUCUCUUCAGAAUUACGUAUCUCAAACUCACUCAACUCAUCCAAACCUCCUCCUUCAAUUUGAAAUAUAUCAGGGAUGAUAUUUUUUGCGCCGACCUGAAUAUUUGCUACAAAUAGAUUUGUUGCUUUUUUUGCCAAACCCUUAAUUACCUCAUUUGAUAUCUGAAAAUGGUUAAGCAAUAGAGUUCUGGGACGAUAUUGAAAAUAACUAUAAUCAUAAAAGUUAUCGGAUCCUAAUACAAUUGAAUACCUUUGCAGUGUUAGGGGGACACCAAAUGUGUUAAAGAAUUCAAUAUAGUCUUCACUGUUAGCAGUCCAUUUUCCUUCGAUAUCGACAAUGUACAACUCUUCCAGUAGUGGGGUUCUUUUGAUCACUUCAAAAUUUUUCCCUUUCAUUUCACAUUUGUACACGUGUAACAAUUUUAAGGUUGUUACUUGUGUAAUUGCAACAUCAAAUGAAGACAAUGAACAACCAUUCAACGAAAGACUUUGAAGUUUCUUCAUAUUGCUUACAAAUGAGAAGUCACUCAAUUCAUAAUAAGAAAUAUCUAGAUAACGAAGAUUUGUUAAUGUUUUUAAAGACAUUGUUGACAAUGGUGUUAUUCCAUCUUUAUCAUUGACUAGAAUCAAAACUUUGAGCAUUCUCAUUCUUUUGAAAAUUCCAUUCAAUUCUUCCAAUUUUGUCUUUAAGAGUAAAAACUCAAGAUUGGAACAAUCCAAAUCAUUUGGAAAUUUCACACACCAUAGAUAUCUUACUGAAUUUUGUUCAAUAGUCACAUCUUUUUCCUCUUCGCACUUGAUUAUCUUAUUCUCAUUCUUUGCUAUCAAGUGGGCCACAUCGCGAACUAUGUCAUGCAUUUUGACAUAUUCAUCCUUUUCAUCCAACAAUAAACAAGAACUAACGAGCUUAAUUUUGGCUGCAACCACUUCACUCCUUGCCUCCUCAUAAGAGUGUGCUUCUCCAACUACACCUAAUCCUAUAGCAUAUCUUGUUAAAAUUUCCAAUGGAAUUUCAUAAUCUUCAGGGAACACAGAACACAAUAGGAAAAGUGAUUUAGCUUCUUUAUUAUCCAAAUUAUCAUAGCUCAGCUGCAAGCACUUGUAGGGAUCAAUCAAACCUCUUUCUAUAUUUAUUGGCUUAGAACUUCUCAACUUAUUCAAUGCAACACUCCAUAUCGUCUCCGCUUUUCCCUUCAAACUACUAGCUACAGCUGCAAUUGCAACAGGCAAUCCUUUACAUUCAUUGGAAAUUAAUCUUCCCAGAUUCUUUAAGGUAUCAGGGGUGUCUUCAAAUAUAAGUGCUUUAUUUUGGAAAAGAGUCCACGCUUCUUCAUCCGUUAAAAUUGGCAAAUAAAUCUUUCUUUGACAAUCCAUUGAAGUACAAACUUCUUCUGAUCUAGUGGUAAUGAGAAUCUUGCAGCCUUUAUGAUGUUCAGAGGAGGGAAUCCCAAUGCCACCAAAGUCAAGCUUCUCCCACACAUCAUCUAGAAUCACAAGAAUUUUUUUCUCUUGGUUUAAUCUCAAGCACAAUCGUUGGGCCCUCUCCAUUACUUCAGUUUCUGGAAAUGUAUACUGCAAUGAACUUGCAAUUUUUUCUUGGAUCCUUCGAACUUCCACUGUACUAGAAAUAGGCACAAAAAGAACUUUUUCAAAAAAAUGUUCUGCUUCUACUAACUUCAUAACCUCCAUUGCUAAGGUGGUUUUACCACAACCCCCCAUCCCAUACAAUCCAAUCAUGUCAACAUCAUUAUUUUUCACUGCUUCUAGUAGUUUCUCAUAUGCAGAUUGUCUACUCUCAAAAUUCAUGCAUUUUUCUGAGAGAAUAUCAAGGGUGCCUGAAGGAAGUGUAGCAAUGCGGUCAAAUGGCACAUAUUUUCUACCCUCUGCGAUGAACUUUUCAAGGUACACAUUUUUAUUUGCUAACUUUUUUCCUACACGGUAUUGCCAAAUCCAAUUUGGACAGUGCCCAAAGCAGCAAAUUCUUUUCGCUUUUGCCUCUUUCAACAACUGAUUCACAUUGUCUACGUCAUUGAUAGCAUCUUGCAGCCAUUUGUCAACAACUUCACUCGUCUUUCUUGUUUGUUUCUUGGCAUUUGUAACAAAUUUUUGAACACUAUCUCUCGUUACAAUCAAAUCGCCCUCUUCUUCUUCAAGCUUUUUUAGAAAAUUGUUAAAGCAACAAGGAUAACGUAAUUGAUUUAAUGCUCCACACACUAAAUCUCUUGAAACAGAAGAUGCAAAACCCAAGAGGCACUCCAUCAAUUUGUUCCACCAAAUGCAAUUUUCUUUUACCUAAACAAGAGAAGUUGAAUACUCUGUAGUGAGUUUUAUAACUAUAUUUACAUUACAAGAAAAUUCAUGAAAUAGUAAUCAAAUUUAAAGACAAAAAAUAAUUAGUCACUAUAUUAACUAAAUUAUAUACUAUUUUAGAGACUAAUUUUCUUUUUGUAUAUAAAGUGCUUUUUAUUAUUAAUAAAAAAUUAUAAAAUAGUUUUUAAAUUGAUAUCUAAAUUAGCUACCAAGAUUUUAGCUACUAAUAUUUUAGAGUUUUAAUUGGUCUGAAUUAGUCUUUUAGAAACUAAUUUAAAAUCUAAAAUAUUAAUAGUUAAAACUUUAGUAGAUAAUGAUUAGAUACAAAUUUAAAAACUACUUUAUAAAUUUUUAUUAAUAACAAAAACUACUUUAGAUACUAAUAAUUUUCUUAGUUUCUAAAAUAAUCUCUAAUAUAAUAUAAUAGUAACUAAUUAUUUUUGUCUUUAAAAUUAGUUGCAAUUUGAUGAUUUUAUAGUGUUAAAUGUAUUAGAUAACAAAAGAUUUUAAGAUAUUUGUUGCAUUAUCCAGUACAUCACUUUUAUAGUAAAGGUUAUGAUGUUAUGUUUAGUAAUUAGAUUUCAUGUUUUAUACCUUAUAUAAUCAAUUAUUGUACACACAAUAGAAAUAAAAAUAAAUCUAAUAACUUUAAUGAUUACUUUUAAAGGUUUAUGUGUUAAUAACAAAUGUUGGUAAUUCCUAAAAAAUUGUAAAUAUUCAAUAAAAUAAAAUAAAAUAAAAGUAUCUAAAAGGUUACUUGAAAUUUAAUUAAGUCUAAAAUAAAUGAAUUUUUUUAGCUAAUUGCAUAUACUCAAUUACAUUGAGAUGAGUUAGACUUGGUACUUUAUGAGCUCUUCUCAAUUUAAACCAAGACUCGAGUGCUUUUAAAAUUCUACACAAACUUCUAAUGUUUUGAAAACGUUACAUUAUCACUGUUUGUUACAUCACACAUGCAAUUUCAUUAAAAACAGUUAAUAUAGGUAUAAUUCAGUUUUAUUAAAAACAGUUAAUAUAAGUAUAAUUUUUUAGAAUAUUAAGGAGUAUGAUUGUAUUUUACUCACUCAUUCAUUAUUCAUGAUUGGAUGUAUAAAUUUAAUAAACUAAAUAAUCUAAAAAAACAAUCUCUUCUCUUUUUAUUUUCUCAAUUAACACUGGUUUAUAUUUAUUCCAGGUCUCAUCUUUUUUUUAUUUCAUUAAUUUAUUCACCUCUAUUUUUUUCUCAAUACAAGUUUUUAGGCCGCAACAUUCCUUCUUUUCAGUGAAAAAAAGAAAUAACUUUCUAAAAAUAAUUUAAAAUAUAUAUGAUAAUUAGUUUUAAGCAAAAGUAUCAUAUAAUUAUUUUUAGUAGAGAAACUAUGUACUUAUUAUUUACUAAAUAAAAUUUUAUUUAAUUUAUUAAAAGAUAAAAUUAUCUAAUUAAAAAAUGACAAAAAAAGAGUUAUAAAAAAUAUGUUCUGAUACAAAUUAUUAAAAAUAGUAAAUUAAUCAACCCUAAUAAUAAAAAGUGAUAAUAAAUAAAUAAUGACAAAAAAAUAAUAUUAAUGAUAUAAUAAAGAAUAAUAACAAUAAAAAAUUUAAUUAUUUUAUUUAAAUUAAAUAAUCUCAAAAAAAUAUAAUUACUUUUCUUUUUAUUUUCUCAAUUAACACUGUUUUAUAUUUAUUCUGAGUCUCAUCUUUUUUUUAUUUCAUUAAUUUAUUCUCCCUCUAUUUUGUUUCUCAAGUCAACUUUUUAGGCUGCAACAUUCCUUCUUAUCAACAAGAGCAAAAAAAUAAAAUCAAAUUCUUAAAUCUAAUUUAUAAUACAAAUUAUAAAUUUUCUCUGUCUAUUUUGUUUCUCCAAAUCAACCUCUCUAGUUGUUUAUAUUCCCAGUUUUCACAGAUCUCGUAGUAUUUCUAAUCCAAAUUAUUUUCUCAGAUCUCACAUAAAAAAACAGAGUAUAUUGUGUUUUGAUCCAUAAGAAGAGAUUAAUUUGGAAGUGGAAAAAGAGGAAAGGUUUUUACGUUACCUGCUUUAACUAAUAUGUAGAGAGAGAUGAGAGAAAGAAGUGGUGAUCCAUGACUUCAGUACAAGAGACACUCAAACGUUAAGUUACUGCACAGACAUAAACACAAACACGUGAUCUGCAGCUUCAAUUGAAAACGAAUCUAUUAGAAUUUGAAAACAAAGCAAAAGUUAACUUCACACUGAUUCAUACCUCCACAGAGAUGAAAGUACUCCAUUGCUUGAAUCGAGGAGAGAGUACAAGAGAAGCUGAAACGUUAAGUUACUGCACAAGCAUAAACACAAACACAUGAUCUACAACUUCAAUUGAAAAGGAAUCGAUUAGAAUUAAGUUAACUUCACAGUGAUUCAUACCUCCACAGAGAUUAAGAAUGAACGCACAGUUAUUCCAGCACAAGAGACGGUGAAAGGUUAAGUUACUGCAGAAACAUAAACACAAACACAUGAUCUACAGCUUUAAUUGAAAAGGAAUCGAUUAGAAAUUGAAAUGAAAGCAGAAGUUAAGUUCAGAGUGAUUGAAACCUGCAGAGAGAUGAAAGGAAUCCAUUGGUUGAAUGAAGAACAGAGUAAAAGAGAGAAUCCUGCGAGAGAUGUGAAGAGUGACUAUUAGUCUUCUUCCCACUGAUAUCAUUGGUCUUCUCUUUUCUAUCGAUUAAUAUUAUUAUUAUUAUCAUGAUUCAGGAAGAUGCAUCCACUUGCACUUUUAUAUCUUUUAAAACUCUUUCUGCUCUUUUUAUAUAAUAAUUAUUCUUAUCUUUUAUUAUUGCUCUCUGCAGUUUUUUGUUAAUCAGCAGCAGUGCAUUGCACACGGUAUUUACAAAACUUUAAACGGGGAAACAUCAUUCUCACAUAACAAUAAUUUAUUUUAUUUAUUAAACAAUACACAACCAACAGAAAAAAAACAAAACUUAUUUAACCUUCGAGUUGUACCAGCCUAAUUAAAGUUGAGAAUAUUAUUGUAAUUUUUUAAAUAAUUUUUACUUUUAUUUAGUAUGAAUGUUUCAACCCGAUUUAAAUUCAUCCUGAAAUUUAAUGUAAAAACUAGAAGUGGAAAAUGACCUUUUAAAAUUUUUAUAUUUUCUUAAAACAUAUUAUUUAAAACGUAUUUUAAAAAAGUAAACUAUUGCUUUCGAGGAAAAUUGAAUUUAGUAUUCAAUUUCAUAAAAGAAUAAAUAAAAAUAGAAAUGGAAAUGGAUGAUUCCUUUUAAAUUGACAGAUAGGAGUAAACUGAUUGAGAAAUUAGAACCAAAUGAAAUAUAUAGUAAAGCAUGCAAAAAAAGAAAAAUAAGGUAUUACAAAAUGACAAUGGACAGUCAUUCAAGGAAGGGCAACAAAAAUGGGUUUCUGUAAUUUUUAAGAAAAACAUGUGAUCAUUAUAUGUUACAUAAAAGAACAAAUAGUUUUUUAUUUUAUUUUUCAUAACAUUGUCUUUGUCUCACCCAGACUUCUUACACAACAAUAAAUAAGAUACCAAACAUACAAUAAUAUAACAAUCAACAUUUAGAAAGUAAAUUGAAACUAUUUGAUAUUGUGAAAAUAUUGAAGCAUACAACCAUCAAGAAACAAAAGACGGAACAAAACAGUGUAGUUGCAAGUCUUCCUUUUGAGUGAUGAAGAGUUUGAUCCUUAAUAACAGUGAACAAUGAAAAUUCUUAUGAGGGAUUUCUGGCAGUCAUGCGAUUGUACUCAUAUUGACUACAUAGAAUUGACCAUUUAUAAGUCACCUCAAACAACUUUUGUUCAAUUUUUCUUUGAUCUUCCACCAUUUGAGAAUUGUCUUUCCUCACAUUUUCAAGCUCCAUUUUGUACCCAAUAGUUUCCGCAAUGCAUUUAUUUUUUUCCUCCUCCAGAGAUGAUAAGGCAUCCUCACAAACUUUUAUUUCUUCCUUUAAAACAACUUCCUUCAGUUGAGCUUCAUCAUAAAAAUUCUUUGCCUCAGAAAUUUUGGAACCAAGAGAAAUGGUCACCUCAUUUCCACGAGCUUCAAGUUUUGCCAACUUCUCAAUGGUAGCAAAGCCUCGCUUAAAGGAGCAUACAAUGCUUGGGAACUCUUGCUGCAUAGUGCCUAUAAUAUCUUUGAGUCCAUCUGAUAGAGUUACAUCUUUGAAAGGAAGGUUGGACAGGAAAUUAAGAGCAGACAAAAGACGAAUGUUGUUAGUCUCAGAGCUAACUAUGUCCUUCAGAGACAUCUUUAGAUACUUUUCUAACUCAACAAGGGUAUUUCCAACUAAAUUAUCUUCACCCUCUUUCCCCACAACAAUUGGUGCAAAUAAACUCAUUAUAUCAUUGGCCCCAAAGUCUUGAAUAAUUUUAGGAUGACCUUCACUUUCUUUAGCCGUGUCUGUCUCAGUUUGAUUGCUCCAAAUUUCAGUCUUGGAGGAAUAAGAAGAAAAUAUAACAAAAAAGACGUUAGCAGUCACAACAAUUUUAAAGCAUUGAGUUCCUUAAACCAUUUUAUAUCAAAGCAUAUUUGUGAGAGUGAUGGUAACAAACUCAUUAAAUUUAAAUUCCAACUUGAAAUUCAAUACUUUUUGUUUCUUAAUUCCACUCCUACGGCAAAUGGUAAAUCAGAAUGGCAACAUCAUUUUUAUGCUGACCAAAUAUAUUGCAUAAAAUAAACUUACAUAUGUAUGCAUUUUUAUUUUGAAAAUGACAACAUGUGUGCCAAUAGAAUGCCUCAGUUUUAUUCUGUUUGCCAUUUACUUGAGUAAUUUCGGGGCUACUUACAAUUUCUCCUAGUGGCUUUUGUUGAUUCAUCAAACACAGUUCACUAAUUCGUUGUUUGUCCACCAAUGCCUAAACAAAGUAAUGAAUAAGUGUAAAAUACUAUUAUUUCAUCCAAUUCUCGAAAAAUAUUUUUAGACUCACAUUUGAGUGUGUUUCACGUAGAGGUAUAUUCGAGUAACUUGGACUUGGCCUUUCAACUGGUUGCGAGUUUGUUAAUGAUGUUGUUGUUCUUGGUAUUUUUGAAGUGGAAACUUUUGCAACAAAUUCCUUCUUUGGUUCUUCAUUUCUCGCAGUCACAAUGCGAUCAUUAGAAACAACAACUAUUUCACCUUCUUUGUCAACCAAGUUAGAACCUUCUUCGAAGUUAUUGUUAACAUUCUGGGUCUUCACACUUGGAGAAGUUCUUUUGCAGUUUUCAUUAGGCCCAUCACCAUGUUCAACAGCCUGAGAAUCUAGUACCAUCUCCACACUACUAGACCUGUGUAACAAACUUAAAUUUUUUGCUUUAUGCAUCCCAAAGAACAGAAAACUAAGAAACAUAUGGUAUCAAUCUUAUAAGAAUUGUAGAUACAACCACAAUGUAUAUAUAAAUAGAAACAGGAAAUCCACACAGCCACAACAUAGAGAUAUAACUUCCAAUUCACAAAAAAACUAAUACAUUUUAUCCGGGCAUGAACAAAGUCAUUUAUGACUCUUAAUUUCAUUCAUUCUUUACAUUACAUUGUCAAGAAGUUAAAUGAACAUACCUCUUAGGAUUCUCAUCCAUUUGUCUCUGUGCAAUUUCCUCUCUCAGCUUAGGAUCCCUCACCACAACACGUUGACGCAUUUCAUCUACCCAUGAACUCUCAAAUCCUAUCUCAAUAGCUUUUUCACAUAGUUUAUGGAAAUCUUUUUCUCUUUGAGGAAUAACAUUAUCGCCACUUCCCUUCUGCAGGAACAACAACAUAUCUGCCAAAAUUUUCAACCUCCAAGCUUGAAAGCGCUCACUGAACUUCUCGCAAGCAUUCCAAAGAUGAGGAUAUGUUGUUAUUGCCUCCACAAGAAGAGCAAUUUGUGCAUCAUCCAAAUCAACAAAAUGUUUAUAUGCUCCCAAUCUUGUAUGAAUAUCUGCAGAAGCUGUAAAAAGUUUGAGAGGGUGAUAUGAAAAUAUAGGAUGAAAACGAGAAAGUAAGAAAUAAAAAACCUGGAGAAAUGUCAAUGUUGUUGUUGUUAGAAACAAUAUGUAUUUCCUCUUGUUUAUCCAACAGAUUCAACCCUUCUUCUAACUGGAUUUCUUGGCUUGGCGUGAUUCCUGCCAUGCCUUCAUUCAUUUUAUCAUCUUGUUCAACAACCUUGGAAUGUUUUGCAAGUAUGUCCACACCACCAGACUGAACGUGAGUUGCAACACCACCUCCAUUGCUAAUGUCUUCAACACCAGUUAACAAAGGUUUUGUCUUAUCACCCUCUACUGCAGGCCCCUCUUCAAUGCUUUCAUUUCCUACGUCCCCAAUCUCCUGUGUAUCACAAAUUGAAAAAAUAUGAUUGAGAGAAUCUAAAGUUUGAAAGGACCACAAUCUUCUUCGAUACCACUCAAUAUUAUGCAAUUUGCUAAAGUAAGUGCUAUAAGUCAUUCACUUUCUCUAAUAUUUAGAAGAGCUUAUUGAAUACUAACCGGUGAGUGUGCUUCGUUUUGGUUAUGCUCUGAACCAGGUUCUUCCUCAAUAAAUUCCUUCAUUGAUUGUUCAUCAAUCUGAACAACGCCAAAAUAUACAAAUUCAAAAGCUCAACAAGUUAACAUUUUUAACUAAUAUAACCAAGUUAUAAAUGAAGAGGUUUUUCUUUUUUAAUUAAUUGAUUGAGUCAUGGCAAUAUUUACUUUGGGGCAUUUCCAUAACAAUAACAAAUGGAGACAAGAUGCAAAGAAGAAUGGCUCAUAUACUAUUCUCAAACUUUAGAACAUUAUUUUAGGAAGUUUUAAUUUACUUUUUUAGACUUCAUUGUAUCACUUAUCUUUUUAAGAUCUUUUCGUAAUUUUUAUUUUAAUAUAAAGAUCUUACAAAAUUCAAUUUUUCAUUAAUAUUUUAUUUGAUGGUUUGCAGAAAUAUAUAUUUAAAAUAUUGUUUUACUUUUCUGACUUGGCAUGUUAUUUAAGAUUCUAAGUCUUAUUUUUUUAUUCUACCAUGUGAGUUAAAAUUGAAAAAAUUCUUCUAAUAAUGAAACAAUUUGUUUUAUUAAACUUUCUUUCAAUUGCAUUACAUUCAUAGAUUGGUUGGUUCUGACCUGUGAUGAAAUGAACUCACGUAUGUCCCCCACAGAAACUUCAGUGUCUUCGAAAUCUGUAAAAAAAAUUCAUAUUAGGGAAUUCAUGUGACAAUGAAACACAUAACAAAAAGGAAAUACAACAUCAAGUUUCCAUGAUGGAUCAUUAUAUCACUACGAUCAAAAAUAAAAAAUGAUUUAGAAAGUUUUAUGAUAGGAUUUUUUUUAUCACCCAUCCAAAUAAAAUGGUGACUCUGUCUUAAGGAUCGUUUUCUUUAUAACUGUUCUUCAUAACUAAAAUUAAAAAACUUGCAGCAAAAAGUAAUUUAAUGUGUUUUAUUUUAAAAAAAGUAAAUUUUCAUAGUACACUAGUGCUAAAUAAGAUCAAUUAAAUUAUAUAGAUAACUAAAUCAUAUAUAAAUUGAGCUUAAGAUUAGUUCCAGAGUUUGACAACCUUCCAAUAACAAUUUGUAUUUGAAGAUUCUAUAUAGUAUUUACCUUCAUAAAGAAGAUUUUUAGCAAGCUUUGUAAGAGUAGUUGUUGGAGUCAAAGAGAGUUUUGGACAUUCGUAGACAACACAGUUCUUUAAAUUUGGCAAUUCGGUCUCUUGACAAAAUUUUGAAAGAUGCAUAAAUAUUAAGAGUUUCAGUCUUGGAAGCUCAACUUUACUCUUUCCUAUAUGAUCACCUUUUUCUUGUACACAUGCAACAAACUCUUCUAGUUCAGAAGCUCCAUUUAUGAUCAAAACAUGAAGAUUGGGAAGGUCAUUAGAUGCAGAUCCAGAUAUAAAUCUUUUCAGUCUGUCACAAUGUUCAACAUACAAUGCUUCUAGUUUUGGGAAGCAUGGCUGAGGAGAAACAAGAUUAGACAAUUUUUUAUCUUUCACAUCUUCUUCAAUGAUUUGUCUUAAUUCUUUGCAUUCUCUUAUAUUCAGAUGAUUCAACUCUGGUAAGCAUCUUAAAACAAACUUUGGAAAGACAACUUGCAAUUUUUCACAUCCAAUGAUUUCUAAUCUUUCAAGAUUUGGGAAGGUAAAAGAAUUCUUUGAAGUUUCUUGUUCACAUCCAAAAAUCUGCUUCAAUUCCAUGCAUUCUUUUAUAAUUAGGCUUUUCAACUUUUGUAAGCUUCUUAAAACAGAGGGAGGAAAGAUUACUUUCAAUUUUGCACAUCUCAUUAUUAUUAAUGUGGUAAGAUGUUGGAGAUUAACUGAAAUCAUGGAAGCCACCCAAAUAUAAGUCAUUUGAGGUAGAUUUUCCAAAAACAAAUCCUUUAACUUUAAACUCACUGGUUGCCCAAUCAUUCUAGGUCCAUUAAGACAAAAAAUAUCUUCUACUUCACAAUUCCUUAUGGAUAGAUAUUGCAAACUGAGGAAAUGGUUCUGAAUCGACUUUAGAUUCUGCAGGACAUUAAUAAGAAAUGUAAACAAAAAAAUCCAAAUAGAAAACAAAAAGGAACAAAUAACUAAUAAUUAUAAAAAUAAAGACAAGACUACCUUCCUACUUACGCUAAUAGGCUCUCUUGAAUUCGUAGGAACCAUCAAACAACUAACAGGAUCAUAAAAAGGAUAUGAGCAUCGGUAACACAUAAACUCCUUCAAAGAUGGGUAUGUCAUAGUGAGAGAGUUUGUAGCACAAAUGCUAACAAAAUUUGGUAGAUCAUAAAAAGAGAGUAUUUCCAAUGCUGAGAAAUGAAUAUGAAUCUCCUCACAAUCCUUAUUAGCUACGGGAUAUUGGCCAAAAAUAUAUUUCAAUUGGCCACAAUCACGCACUGAGAAAUUUCUUAAGCUUUGGAAGAUAGCAUUCAAAUUCUCUUUCUCAUAUUCAUCCUUAGUGUCUAUAAUGUGCUCAAGUCCAUGGCAUUCCUCAAUUCUUAAAGAUUCCAACAUCAAUGAUGAAGCAAUGGACCAUUUAAAAAUGUACUUUGCCUUAUCAAAGCCUUUCAGUUCAAUCUCUCUUAUAUUAUGCAUAGUAAGAAAGGUCAAACCCUGUGGUUGUUUUGAAAGAUAUUGAACACUUUCAACUUGGAGAAUACGAUCUGAGUUCGAUAUCUGCAAUAUAUACACCAAGUUACUUCUUAAACCAAACUAAAUAAUAUCUUAAUUAAGUAUAAUUAUUAAUGCAUUCCAUUUCUAACAUAUCAUUCGUGUAAAUUAAAAUUUUAAGAAAUACCACCAAUUUGCUUAGAUCCAUUUGUUUCUUUAUGAAAAUAAUUUCCUUUUUCUUUAGCCUAAUGAGUUAAAGUUGAAAAGAAAAUAAUUUUCCAUAAAUAAUCUACUUGAAAUAAUCUUACAGGAUAACUGUCUAGAAUGGUGCUUCCCAGGGUACGGUCAAGUCUAGAGUACUUCUAACGCAGGAAGCUCAAUAUGAGUAUUAGUUUGUUGUUGGUGACAAGAGACAGGGAAUAUGUAUUGCAAUAAGUCACAUCUAUGAAUAUGUAGCUCUUUCAAACUCUAGAAGAUUGAAAAAUCACUCUGAAAGUCAUGGUCAUCCUGGACAAUAUUUUUCUUUUGAUUGUGAUUGACCCUUUCAUGAGUUACUAUAUGCUUCAAACUAUGACAGUCUUUUAUGAACAAUACUUUCAAAGAAGUCAAGGUCUUAGCCAGUGAUGAUGGAAGAAUUGAGCCUAACUUCGGACAAUAGUAUAUUGUAAUGCUUGUAAGGCUUGAUAGAGUUCCUGAAAACCAAUUGUAAAUUUGAAAAAUAUCGUUCAACAUAUUAGAGUUUAUUAAAUAUAUUCUAUGAGUGCAAGUUACAUUUUUUAUUUUUAAAACAUUGGUUUCUAGGAACUAAAGCCACAAUCCUAAGCAUAAAAUGAUAUGUUAAUAAUGAUGAAAAGAAUCAUACAAAACAAUUUUCUUUAAAUAAUUCUAAAUUAUUCAAAAAAAAAUUAAAAUGAAAAUAUAAUUGUCUUUAAUUUUGAUUGAGACAAAUUUUGUUGGUAGAGUAUUAACAAGUAUUUGGUUUAAGUAAAACUAGAUUACAAUGUCUUGAGCUUGAACCUUAUGAAUGGAAAAUAGAGAUCCUGAUGAAACAAUGUACAAUUAAUAUGCUUAAAUUUUUCAUAUAUAGUAACAAAUUCACAAUUUUCAUGUAAUGAACUUGUAAAUAACUUCAACUAAGUAAUAAAAUGUAGACUUACUGAUAAAAGCUUAAGCAUAUUUAGAAAUUCAAAAACAAAAGUGCUUACCUUCCUCAAUGAUUUCACCAGGUUCUUCUUUUUUAUCAUGGU